rnacentral:misc_RNA from 1 species
AGCGUCAUUAUCAACCAUCAAGCUUGGCUUGUCGUUGGACUCUGGUCGGUAAAAGACCAGUCCAAAAUUGAAUGGACGGGACCUGUCGGCCCUAGAUGCAACGAGCUUCACGGCACGCAUCAAAAGGUCGCCGGCCCCGCCUUUAAACCCCAUUUUCUCAGGUUGACCUCGGAUCAGGUAGGAAUACCCGCUGAACUUAA